GUCUAUGGCCAUGCCACCCUGAAUAGCCCAAUCUCGUCUGAUCUCAGAAGCUAAGCAGAGUCAGGCCUGGUUAGUACUUGGAUUGGAGACCACCUAGGAAGACCAGGUGCUGUAGGCA
rnacentral:rRNA from 1 species